rnacentral:rRNA from 1 species
GAUGAACGCUAGCUACAGGCUUAACACAUGCAAGUCGAGGGGCAGCAUGGUCUUAGCUUGCUAAGGCCGAUGGCGACCGGCGCACGGGUGAGUAACACGUAUCCAACCUGCCGUCUACUCUUGGACAGCCUUCUGAAAGGAAGAUUAAUACAAGAUGGCAUCAUGAGUCCGCAUGUUCACAUGAUUAAAGGUAUUCCGGUAGACGAUGGGGAUGCGUUCCAUUAGAUAGUAGGCGGGGUAACGGCCCACCUAGUCUUCGAUGGAUAGGGGUUCUGAGAGGAAGGUCCCCCACAUUGGAACUGAGACACGGUCCAAACUCCUACGGGAGGCAGCAGUGAGGAAUAUUGGUCAAUGGGCGAGAGCCUGAACCAGCCAAGUAGCGUGAAGGAUGACUGCCCUAUGGGUUGUAAACUUCUUUUAUAAAGGAAUAAAGUCGGGUAUGGAUACCCGUUUGCAUGUACUUUAUGAAUAAGGAUCGGCUAACUCCGUGCCAGCAGCCGCGGUAAUACGGAGGAUCCGAGCGUUAUCCGGAUUUAUUGGGUUUAAAGGGAGCGUAGAUGGAUGUUUAAGUCAGUUGUGAAAGUUUGCGGCUCAACCGUAAAAUUGCAGUUGAUACUGGAUAUCUUGAGUGCAGUUGAGGCAGGCGGAAUUCGUGGUGUAGCGGUGAAAUGCUUAGAUAUCACGAAGAACUCCGAUUGCGAAGGCAGCCUGCUAAGCUGCAACUGACAUUGAGGCUCGAAAGUGUGGGUAUCAAACAGGAUUAGAUACCCUGGUAGUCCACACGGUAAACGAUGAAUACUCGCUGUUUGCGAUAUACUGCAAGCGGCCAAGCGAAAGCGUUAAGUAUUCCACCUGGGGAGUACGCCGGCAACGGUGAAACUCAAAGGAAUUGACGGGGGCCCGCACAAGCGGAGGAACAUGUGGUUUAAUUCGAUGAUACGCGAGGAACCUUACCCGGGCUUAAAUUGCAGAUGAAUUACGGUGAAAGCCGUAAGCCGCAAGGCAUCUGUGAAGGUGCUGCAUGGUUGUCGUCAGCUCGUGCCGUGAGGUGUCGGCUUAAGUGCCAUAACGAGCGCAACCCUUGUUGUCAGUUACUAACAGGUUCCGCUGAGGACUCUGACAAGACUGCCAUCGUAAGAUGUGAGGAAGGUGGGGAUGACGUCAAAUCAGCACGGCCCUUGCGUCCGGGGCUACACACGUGUUACAAUGGGGGGUACAGAGGGCCGCUACCACGUGAGUGGAUGCCAAUCCCCAAAACCUCUCUCAGUUCGGACUGGAGUCUGCAACCCGACUCCACGAAGCUGGAUUCGCUAGUAAUCGCGCAUCAGCCACGGCGCGGUGAAUACGUUCCCGGGCCU